rnacentral:rRNA from 1 species
UACGUAGGGUGCGAGCGUUGUCCGGAAUUAUUGGGCGUAAAGGGCUCGUAGGCGGUUUGUCGCGUCGGGAGUGAAAACCAUGGGCUUAACUCAUGGCUUGCUUUCGAUACGGGCAGACUAGAGGUAUGCAGGGGAGAACGGAAUUCCUGGUGUAGCGGUGAAAUGCGCAGAUAUCAGGAGGAACACCGGUGGCGAAGGCGGGUCUCUGGGCCGAAACUGACGCUGAGGAGCGAAAGCGUGGGGAGCAAACAGG